CAGCUCAGUCUGCUAGAACAACUGUUUGGUCCUAUCAGAGUGCCAUCUCUCCCAGACAUUCUCUGAAUGUACACAGCAGUGCCACGAGAGCUGCUCUUACCUCUGACUGCUGAGAUGAGAGCCAUGGUUAGAAUUGGUUUCUAGCACAAAGGCUUAGAUACAUUUAAUUUUUUUUCUUUUUUUUUUCUUUUUUUUCUUUAAGGCAGUAUUUUAGGGCUCAGAAACUAAUACAGUCACUGGUCUUGACCUUCAGCUGCAGCUGAAGAUCUUGCUGGGGAGCUUGGGACAAGAGAAUGUGCAAAGAGUUCAAGAAAAGUUGCAUGCUGCUCUGUUGGUGAGUGGGAAAAUAAUUGCUUUUAGCUGGUUCCUCAGUCACCAGGUGAUGUCUCCUCAGCCACAAAACCGUCCUCUGGUGAGCAGGGUCUCCCUUCCAGUGGUGCAAAGUCUCUGAGCACAUGCAACAGAGGAGUGGGUGCCCUUGCCAAUGGGAGCCAUUGUUUUCCUCUAUUAUCAACACACCCAAACUGUUGGCUGUCUAAACUGGUGGAAGUGAAGAACAGUUUACCUUAAGGGGGAAGAGACUCAGAGGUGAGGAGCUGAAGGGAAGGUUGGAGACAGACACGGUGAAGACGAAUGAGAUGAACAAAGGCUUGUCCAUCCUUUGCGAUGAGCCCCUUCGUGCCCCCUUGGCAUGUGUUGGCGCUUCUUGUUUUGCAAAGAAUAUAGAGCCUCUGUAAAUAUUUUUUUUUCUAAAGAAAAGUAUCUUCUACUGCUAUUUUAUCUACGAUUUCCCCCUCUGAUUGAUAACAGAAUUGAAUUCAGGUGGCCUAGUAUAGUCUGAUUUGGUUUUAUUCAAGCUAACAUGGUAGCAUUAGGACCGUAUCAGGGUUUUUUAAUUCACAUUACUCAGAUCAGCAGACAUGCCACAAACACGACACUAUUUCUGCGUUUUUCAUGACCAGUGGUCUCGUGCUCAGUGGUGGGGAGUGCUUACAGCCCUCAGGAAAGCAAGAUCAGUAGGAAAUAAGCACUUCUGAAGUAAGGCUACAAGAAAAUGGACACUAAAAUCCUGGUGCAUGCCCAGAGAUUCUUUGAUGAUGAAUAACAGGCAAACAGCUCAUAGAUCGUAACACAUAUAAAAUAUUCAUAUAAAUAAAACAUAUCCAUAUAUAGUGAAAAUGUUGAUGAAUAAUUUUUGUCGAUUGUAGCUCUCUCACGCUUGUUUUAGGUUUCAGCAGAGCUGCCAAAAAUUCAGUCUUCACAGGAGUUCAUGGGAACAUUUUCUUGGUUUUGAUGUGUGGGGAUUUCUACCCGGUAAACUUCGGAAUAUGGCAAAAAUCACAGAACAAAACUUAUUCAGAGCUCUUGAGCUCUACUCAUUUUUCAAAGCGAAGCUGACCUAAUCUGGAAAAUUCAUAUAUAUAUUGGUGCACAGCUGGAAAAUAACCCAGGCUCUCCUCAAAGACUCAGGAGUCUGGGAGAACAUCUUUAUCAGCAUGUUCUAAUUUUGGACCAUGUUUUACAAAGUUGUAGCCUAAAGAACCCUAAAUAGCUGUAAGGCUUCCUGAAUUUCUUAACACCAUACAGUAACUUGGUUUCAUGAUCUUGGUUUCAAUGAUCUUCUGAAGUGUUCUGGGAAUCUCGGAAGGGAAUAAUUACUACAAGCUGUAAACACCUCUUGUGUGAAGAACAAUUGUAUAAUUCUUUUUCACUGUCUUGGGUACAGCCAAUUAAAAUUUUCAAAAUUUGAUAAAUUACAGGAAUUAUGUACUUUUUAUUGUCAUUUAUCUUGCAAAUUAUAAGAUGCACUGAUCCUGACCAAAAGCAACAAUAUUCUUUAAUUCAUUCUUAUUGGAUAAAAUGUCAGAGUAUUUUUUUUUUAAUAAUAUGUCACUGGCUUGCCAAAAAUGUAAUGCCAGAGCAACAAAGUGACGUGAAAUGUGUAAAAAGAAUUGUGCAUGUAUAUGUGUGUGAAAGAAAUAUUAAAGCAGGUCACUUCAGUGUCUGGAUGGUUUCACUCUAAUACUCACUUGAUUGGAGCACUUGGUAAAUUCUUUGUUAUUAACAUUUGGAGUGUCUUACUUGGACAUGAACUUUAUUAUGUGGAGUGAAAACUGAAUAAAAGAUUGGAAACAAAUGCUAAUGGUAAACAGCCAUAUACUGAGUCGGAGAGAAAUCUGCAGGGAUUAUAACUGAUCCUGAUUUUAUUUAAUGACUUUAUUUACACUAUAAAAGGAUUUUUUUUUUAAUAUAAAAGCCCAACAUGUUGAAGUAGUUAACAAAACGAUUCUUAAAUUACUGGAGGUUGGUAACAUGUUACCAGCUCUCCUGUCUCCCUCUCCGUCUCAGGGAUCAGUUGUGUUUCACAUGCCUGCAUGGUGCUGAUUUCCCACUGCAGACCUCUCAGUGCAUAUGAAAUCAAUGGGACCUGAGAACUGAGAACCUUUAUUACUUUUCUCCUUCCUGUUUUUCUGCCCUGGGCGAUUGCUUAGUCUUCCUCACGUGUACAGCGGUGAGGACAGAGAAAUCCUUUCUCCAAAGGGACUUUCAGGGUUGGAAAUACAGGCAGGAAACAGCACAAUUAGAUUCAACUGAGAAAAAAAACCUAACACACGAACUAAUAUAUCUCAGGGAAAAUCAUCCUAACUGCAUAAUCAGCAGGAGGGAAAUACUUGGAUGCCAUUGAGUUUAUAAAGAUUUAGGAUAGAUAAUAGGUAACAAAUCAGAUGUGACCUAGUAAUAACUUCUCAGGGCAAAGACGCAGUUGUGCUUGUGGGUCAUGUGUGCAGAGCCAUCUUGUCAUUUCUCAGGGAGGUAGUUUUCCCUCUGGAGGUGCUGCAAGAGGCUUUCCUGUGGGAUUAGAUGCUCAGGGCAGUUCCGGGAUCCUUGUCUUGAGAGUGAAGUCCCUACUUCAUUUAGGACUAUGUCAGUGGAACCUACCAAUGAGCCACCAACAUGGUCAAGGAUAGAGAGAGAAACUGGAAGGAUUCUGAGAACUAAAUUUUGGUAAGCAAUCACUACACAUGGUGGAGGGGGGAAGAGGCAGAAAAGGAUAUGUGAAGCCACUUUAAAGACCUGCAGGACUUACUACGGAGUUACUCAUUUUUGCACCUUGGCUGCCAAGGAAUUUUCUCUCUCCUCUCAUACCUACCCUGACCUCCUGCAUGUUGUUUCUUCACGGUGAAAGCAAUGAACAUAAGUAUUCAGGAUAAGGGACUGGAGUAGGCAGAGGGACUUUUAAAACAUUGAACCAGCUCAUGCCUGAUUUACACUGGAAAGGGGUUUCUACUCAUUGAUCACUCUGGUCAAUAUUUGCUAAGAACAGUGAAUAAAAGAGGGAAAUUCCUUACUGUAGCAGGACAAAGGUAACAAAUACAGAUAUGCCAACACCAUUACAGAAAAGGUUCAUGUAUUUUUAUUCUUCCUGCCAAAAUCAUCACAGACAUUGUGCUCUAGUCCAUGCGGCUGGGUUGGAAGUAGCAAAUGUUGCAUAAGUGCUACCUAGGAUCUCCUAAUACCGUGGGAUUAGCCAUGAUGUUUGGGCUGGGCCUGACCCCAUGUUGAACACAGGGAGGAAUGGAACCCUUUGACAUUGCUUAGGAGAGUCUAGCAGAGAAGAUCACAAUGAAACCUGUAGAAAAUCAGUGACAAGUGGAUGAAAAAGAGAAAAGUCCUGGUGGUGAGGUCUCCUGGAGUGAUGCCUAAGGAGAGGCCAUCAGUCUUAUAAUUUGGUAAACUGUGAAAGAGAUUACACCCUUGGAGGCAUCCCAGAGGAACACUGAUUUUAUUUCUAACCUGCCCUCCCUAAGAGAAAGGAGACACCACAAAUGUCUACAUUGUACCCUGCCAGGAGGCAGUGUGAGGGAGGCUUGAGGGACAUGUUGAGGAUGUGCUGAAAGAAAGCAGCAUUGGCUGUUGGCUCUUGUCUGUCACUAACCCACAUUCCCCACAUCUGCCAUUUGUUAUGAGUCUUCCCAUUGGGGCAAAGGUGAUCUCUUCUUUCCUUUAUACUCAGCCUUUCUCAAGGACAUUCUACUGUUUGCUGUACUCCCUAAUAUGUCAAUAUUACAUUUAUAACAUACACUGCUGAUACAGUAGAUUUGGUAUAUAUAACUAUGACUACAUGAAGAGUUGUAUAUUAUUUGAACUCAGGUCUUGAGUUAGCAAAUUUCAACAUAUUCCAGCCUAGAGCUACAGAUUAGCCAGGUUGGAUGGGGCUUUGAGCAACCUGGUCUAGUGGAAGGUGUCCCUGCUCAUGGCAGGGUGGUUGGAAUUAGAUGAUCUUUAAGGUCCCUUCCAACCCAAGACAUUCUAUGAUAUUCUAUGAUAUUCUAUGAUAACACAAAGCAUUCUGUGAUUCUAUGAUUUCAGAUCAGAUGCACAUUGUGCUACUAAGUUUUAUCUCUAAAAUUAAUAUCAUUGUGCAAUUCUAACCCAUUCUUCAUCUAAUAAUGACUGCAAAACAUGUACAAAAAUUUGACAAUUGAUAAAUAUGAGUGAUUUAGAUAAAACUCCCAAGAAAACCUAUGAAGAUCCAAGACAAGGUAUUUUGACUUCAUUUUAAGGAGUCCUAGUUUUAAUAUUUUUUGAAAUUUCCUGGUGUUAAUCUGAGAAGUGUUGUAAUACAGAAAAUUUGUAAUUCAACAUGUGUGCGCGCAUGUAUGCAUUGUAUGCUCUGGUCAAACCCAGAACUAGACAGCAUUCAGAAUUUCCUAACACCUAAUUCUCUUUCUGCACUUAAUGCUUAAACUGUCAUGAUCUAAUGGAAAAGGAGUCCCCACAUGAAUAUUGGGGCUGGACUGUGUCUCACCGACAUCCUUGGACAUGCCAGAAGUCUUUUUCCAGCUCACAGCAACACAUCGGUUCUCUGAUCUGACACUGAGAGACAUUGCAGGAGUAGCUGCAGUGCCAGUUCUCCUGCAACCUGUUCUUCUGCAACCGUGAGGUUCUUGAGACGACAGCUGGGAGCUUGGCACCAUCCUGUGCAGACUGGUCUGCAUUGUGCCAUGCAAACUGGAGUAACACCUGGAGAGUACAGACAAGGGGAAAACUAGGAACUGAAGGCUCAUUUUCAAAGGAGCCAGGAGAGUUUUAUAAAAAGCCUGCAUGAUUUCUUCAAACUCCUUUAAAAUUUCAGCUACCGAGGUGCUUCAGCUAUCAGACUUAAAUCCAUCUGGAGACAACUGAAGAUACAUGUGCUAGAUAAUGCUGGAAAACAGACCUCGGGCAACUUGUCUGAGUUACGCAGGAACUCUGAAUUGCACCAUCCAUAUUUUUCCAUGUGCACUUGGGUUGGGGUGUAAGUGUUACAUUGCUCAUGUACAGCACAACACGCUUCCACUAAGAAACUUUAUCCUGCACACUUAAAAUGUUUGCAGUGUAUUUUAAAACGUUCAUCUUUGCAAAAUGUUACUGAUUUAAAUAAAGUGUUUCAGU